rnacentral:rRNA from 1 species
AACGAACGCUGGCGGCAGGCUUAACACAUGCAAGUCGAGCGCCCCGCACGGGGAGCGGCAGACGGGUGAGUAGCGCGUGGGAACGUACCUUUUGGUUCGGAACAACUCCGGGAAACUGGAGCUAAUACCGGAUAAGCCCUAACGGGGAAAGAUUUAUCGCCGAAAGAUCGGCCCGCGUCUGAUUAGCUAGUUGGUGAGGUAACGGCUCACCAAGGCGACGAUCAGUAGCUGGUCUGAGAGGAUGAUCAGCCACACUGGGACUGAGACACGGCCCAGACUCCUACGGGAGGCAGCAGUGGGGAAUAUUGGACAAGGGGCGCAAGCCUGAUCCAGCCAUGCCGCGUGAGUGAUGAAGGCCUUAGGGUUGUAAAGCUCUUUUGUCCGGGAAGAUAAUGACGGUACCGGAAGAAUAAGCCCCGGCUAACUUCGUG